AUAUAGAACAAAUCUGUGAUAUCCUUAAUAUUCAGAAUAAAACUGUAAUAACAUUAUGAUAUCCUUAAUACACAGAAUAAAACUCUAAUAAAAUAAUACCCAUGGUGAAUUUAUAAUAAUGAUAGUAUGUAGUGUGAUCAGACGAGGUGUGAGGCUGUAAAGAACAGGUGUUUUUUUUAUCUUGUCUGCUAUCAGCUGAUACGGAGAGUGUGUGCUGAUCACUUCCUCUGUGUGUGUGUGUGUGUGUGUGUGUGUGUGUGUGUGUGAGGAUGAUCUGUAAGAGCGACAGGUUUUCAGAUCCUCUCACACUCACUCGGAUCUUCAGUUCUGAUUAAAUCAUGUUGUUUCUGAUGCUCCUGCUGUCGCGGGCCUCCCUCACUUAUACGCACGCUGAGUGCAAACCGUCCACCAGCAUGUCCUCCAGUCUGUCCAGCAUCUGUCUGGGUCAGAACUUCAGUCUGUCCUGUACGUUCUCCUGCCUGUCUGCCAUCCAGGGCAUCCAAAUAAUAAAAUCUGGACAGGUGAUCAGCAGUCUUCACCUGUUAAACACCAGCUCAGGGUCCAAACCCAGCGGCUCUCUGGUGCUGUGGUUCCACUCGGCCUCACAGCUGGACUCAGGGGGUUACACCUGCUACAGCAUCCCCCCAUACAGCAUAUCCUACAACAACAUCAGCGUCACAGACUGUUCCACCCCAGACGUCCCUUCCACGACUGAGCCCACCCUCCCUCCCUCUAACAGCACCCAGUAUGCAGGUGGAGAUUAACCAUUUAACAUAUUAAUAAUAAAAUACAAGUGCAUCUCA
rnacentral:lncRNA from 1 species